rnacentral:rRNA from 1 species
UACGUAGGGUGCAAGCGUUAUUCGGAAUUAUUGGGCGUAAAGCGCAUGUAGGCGGCUUUGCAAGUUUGAUGUGAAAUCCCUGGACUCAAUUCAGGAACUGCAUUGAAUACUGCAUGGCUAGAGUAUGAGAGAGGUAGGCGGAAUUCCUGGUGUAGAGGUGAAAUUCGUAGAUAUCAGGAGGAACAACAGAGGCGAAGGCGGCUUACUGGAUCAUAACUGACGCUGAGAUGCGACAGUGUGGGGAGCAAACAGG